UUGCACUCCAAGCGAAUGGCCCAACGGGGGAUUUAUUAGGAAAGAGAGAAGGUCCUGCCCAAAAUCACUUUGGUGCCUGGGACCAGCCCUGGCAGAGUGAGGCAGAGGGUGGAGGCAGAGGGGGGAGGCCAAGGGCAGCUGUCCCACACCACCAGCCUGCCUCACAUGCCCAGCUGCCGCAGGCUUUCCUCGCCCCACACGCUCCUUGCACAGCCCAUGGCCACUGGUCACCAGACACCAUCACCAUCACCGCCAUUGCCGUCACCAUCGUCGCCACCAUCACCACCAUCGUCAUCAUCACCACCGUUGUCACCACCGUCGUCGUCAUCGUCAUCACCAUCAUCAUCCCCGUAGUGGUAGUUGUCGUUAUCAUCAUUGUCAUAGUCAUAGGUGUUGUGUUUGUUUUUCUCCUCCUCCUCCUCCUCCUCCUCAUCAUCAUCAUCAUCACGACCAUCAUCAUCAUCAGCAUCGUCAUCCUCUCCACUGUCACCCUGGUCGGACUCUGUCUUCUCUCCUGACACAGGCUUCUCAACCAGUGCGGGUUUCUUCCCUGGUGUGGGCUUCACCCCAGACACCGGUUUCUCCCCUGUCGCAGGUGUCACAGAAGCCACUGGCUUUUCCCCAGAUGGGUGCUUCUCUUUAGACACCGGAUGUUCACCUGACUCCGGCUUCUUGGCUGGGGUGACUGUGCUGGACUCGGGGCUUGAAACAGAGCUGGGUUUUUCCCUUGACGAAGGGCUUUCCCCUGGCAAAGCGCUUCCUGGCAUCUCUUCCUGUGGUUGUCUCUCUGCACCACCAGCAGGGGCAGGAGAGGUUGCUCCUGGGAUCCCUGAAACGGGAAGAGAAAACAGGAGCGUCGGAGCCCCCACGCGCCCCCAGCUUGCGGUGGCUCCCGGCAGGCACAGCCUCCUCCCCGCAGCAGGCUGUGGGCGCAGGGCUGCCUGCCUGUUCCCGAGGCAGAGGCAAGGCGCCAGACACACUGCUGACCCCCUUCUCUUCCAGCCCGUUCCGCACCCUGCAGAAACGCAGUGGCUGAAGCGACUGGCACCUGUCCUCUGCCCAGAGGUGGGCAGAAUUAUUGCAGUGCUGCUGUUUACUGCCUAACUGCUGACCUCUCUGUCCUUCUUGCUGAAGGCAGUCAAAGAGACGAGCUCUGCUCACCUGGCUGUUUCGCGGGAAGGGCUCUGCCCCUGCACAGCCUGCAUUAGCACUCUGACGGGCAGCCCUGCUGCUCCCAGGAGCUGCUGUCUCUCAGUGCCCUACAGCACGGUACAGCACUCCUUAGACGUGCAAAGCCCACAGUAAUUUGCCCCUUGAUGAACCAAGCUUUUGAACUUGGUAUUUUAACACUGCGACUGGUGCAAUGAGGGCAGAACAAUUUCCCACGCUUACAGUAGCUGAGUUUGCUACAGAGCAGUGCAUGUGCAUUCUCUCCUAUGGGCUUUUCCUGGUGGAUUUUCCGGCCUAGGUCUAUCCCACUGCUGCUGUACAGCCCAGGGAUGAAAGAGUCCACCUGGGGCCAAGUCAAUGUCUAURUGGGAAGGCGUCUCCCAGCAGAUGCAUCUCAGGGUGGUGAAUGAAUUCUGGUAUCAAAAGGGGGCCUUACCGCCAGCAGCAACAGGUCUGCAGACGAGCCUUCCCUGGGAGCUGCUGCACACGUGCCCCGGCGGACAGUCCUUGUCAUCUCUGCACCUGAGCAAACACUUGCACGUGACUCCUGCUGUACUGGGAGAAGCCUGGGGUUAGAGAAGGCACAGCGCAAAGAGCCCGAAGGACCAGACCCUCUGCCAGAGCGGAGGUCUGGGGGCGCAGCACCCACCACUGCCACUAAACCCUCUGCCUGGGCCUGCAGAGAGGCGCUCCCCCCACCACCCACAGCCACGAGCCCAGCAAACACCCUGCGCCGGGGGGGAGCGGUUUGGGGCUGGCAAGUGUCCCGAGCAGCCGGGAGCCGCACGCGGUUGCUCCCAGCGAGCUGCCCUCCAGUCUGGCCCGCGAGAGGAGGCGGCGUCAAGAGCAGGGAGAGCCCUGGGAGCUCUGCAACGACCUGCAGCCCGUGUCCUCCCCCACGACCCACCAGCCUCCCACCUCCACCGCUCUCCGCCAGCAGCAAUCGCCCUCUCCUGCCAGUCAGUCCCACAGCAUCUGAUGACUCCCCUCCCACAGGCAAAAAGCCUUCUGAGCCCAAAUUAAAGACAUAGAAUUGCCAAAGUUUUUCAAAACUUGGACAAAAAAAGUCAAGAAAAUCUGUCUUUCUUUUUUUCCUGGGAGGCUUUUGGGAGUGGGUGGAGGAAAUAAGUGAAAACUGAAAUAUUGAAUGCAGUAACUUUUUAGCAAAAAUUUUUUUUACUUACCUUUAAGAGUAAGAAAUACACUAUGUAUUAUUUAACCAGGACAUAAAUAUAUUGUUAAGUAUAUUUAUGAAAUAAGUAUAUAUGCUUUCUUGUUAGGCAGUAACAAGUAAACACAUUGAGAAACAGAGCUGCACUGCACAGUGCAUUCCUGAGGUAUAUUGCUUGCCUCUUGGUAUCUCUAAAACAGGGAACGGUAUUCAGAAGUUAGAAAUAGAAGGCAUCAACAUUAUUGACUUGCUGACAAAAGGAGGGUCACAUUGUCAGGCUUAAAAUCAGCUUAUAAACUAAGACCAAAAGAAACUCAAGUUUCUAGAGAAGAAAAUUUAGAAAAUCAUCAUGAUAUUUCUAGGCACUUUUUCAUUAGAAUGCAAUAACCCCAGCAUGGAAUUACAGAGCAACAGCAAAUCGGACUCAUAUUGUACAGGAACUGUUAUUGCCUAGUAGUUUAAUUUUCAAAAUAAAAUUGCCUAACCUGAAACA
ensembl:lncRNA